GGGAUUGUAGCUCAGUGGUUGAGCGCUUGCCUCUCAUGCGUGAGGAACUGGGUUCCAUCCUCAGCACCA
rfam:Ictidomys tridecemlineatus contig088716, whole genome shotgun sequence.